rnacentral:rRNA from 1 species
UACGUAGGGGGCUAGCGUUGUCCGGAUUUAUUGGGCGUAAAGAGCGAUGUAGGCGGCCAGGUAGGUCUGCUGUGAAAACUCGAAGGCUCAACCUCGAGCUGUCGGCGGAAACCAUCUGGCUAGAGUCCGGAAGAGGAGAGUGGAAUUCCUGGUGUAGCGGUGAAAGUGCGCAGAUAUCAGGAAGAACACCCGUGGCGAAGGCGGCCCACUGGUCCGGUAGCUGACGCUGGAGGUGCGAAAAGCGUGGGG